rnacentral:rRNA from 1 species
CCUACGGGGGGCUGCAGUGGGGAAUAUUGGACAAUGGGGGGAACCCUGAUCCAGCCAUGCCGCGUGUGUGAAGAAGGCCCUCGGGUUGUAAAGCACUUUCAGUGGGGAAGAACGCCUGGUGGUUAAUACCCAUCAGGAAAGACAUCACUCACAGAAGAAGCACCGGCUAACUCCGUGCCAGCAGCCGCGGUAAUACGGAGGGUGCGAGCGUUAAUCGGAAUUACUGGGCGUAAAGCGCGCGUAGGUGGCUUGAUAAGCCGGUUGUGAAAGCCCCGGGCUCAACCUGGGAACGGCAUCCGGAACUGUCAAGCUAGAGUGCAGGAGAGGAAGGUAGAAUUCCCGGUGUAGCGGUGAAAUGCGUAGAGAUCGGGAGGAAUACCAGUGGCGAAGGCGGCCUUCUGGACUGACACUGACACUGAGGUGCGAAAGCGUGGGUAGCAAACAGGAUUAGAUACCCUAGUAGUC